AACAUUUGGCAGUUAGGAGCCAAAGUCUUAAGAGCCAUCACACGUUUCCACUCGACAUCUUCUGCUGGAGUGAGCUGCCAUGCGAUGAACCUGUACUAGAGCACCUGUGGCCUCCUUAGCCCAAGCAAGCUCCAAAUCCCAAUGGAAAGCUCAGGCCUCUCCCGAAGGACCCAGGACCUCAGAAACUCUGAGCUGCUCUCCUCAACGCUUUAAUCUCUUCUUGCUGAAGCCGCCCACCCUAUUACUAAGAAACCGCUGCAGCUGCUACAGAUAGAAGAAACACAGGGACAUCAAGUUAUGAAAGGCCAACUGACUUCCAUCCUUCCUUUCGUGAAAUUUCACCAAGCACCCACCUGCUACUAGAUCCAAGGAUACAAAGCCAGUGGAGAGCCCCCCUCCUCUUUAUAGGGUUGUUCACAGGUUUGUGGGAGUUGAGCAGGUACGCCAAGAGCUCCAAUGGUGUUCUGUGAGAUAAAGGCCUCUGCAAGCAAGCCUUUUUUGGUCAAAGAAAUGAAGAGCCAGUGUGGAAACCAGAUGUCUGGGUCUGAAGAGGCCAUCUCAGUCAUUAGUAGCACAGC